rnacentral:lncRNA from 1 species
CAUACCUUUAAUCCCAGCACUUUGGGAGGCCAAGGUGGGCGGAUCACCUGAGGUCAGGAGUUUGAGACCAGCCUGGCCAACAUGGUUAAAACCUCGUCUCUACUAAAAAUACAAAAGUUAGCCGGGUCUGGUGGCGUGCACCUGUAAUCCCAGCUACUCAGGAGGCUGAGGCAGGAGAAUCGCUUAAACCCGAGAGGCAGAGGUUG